rfam:Salmo salar isolate Sally breed double haploid chromosome ssa05, whole genome shotgun sequence.
UCCCGUGUGGCUGAGUUGGUAGAGCAUGGCGCUUGCAACGUCAGGGUCAUGGGUUUAAUUCCCACAGGGGAC